rnacentral:rRNA from 1 species
UACGGGGGGGGCAAGCGUUGUUCGGAAUUACUGGGCGUAAAGGGCUCGUAGGCGGCCAACUAAGUCAGACGUGAAAUCCCCUCGGCUUAACCGGGGAACUGCGUCUGAUACUGGAUGGCUUGAGUUUGGGAGAGGGAUGCGGAAUUCCAGGUGUAGCGGUGAAAUGCGUAGAUAUCUGGAGGAACACCAAUGGCGAAGGCAGCUCGCUGGGACGUGACUGACGCUGAGACGCGAAAGCGUGGGGAGCAAACAGG